AGGAUAGGAUAAUGGCAGUCCACGGGGCUCAUAUUCCCGAGGUCCAGGUUCGACUCCUGGUCCCGCAA
rnacentral:tRNA from 1 species